rnacentral:rRNA from 1 species
AACGAACGCUGGCGGCAGGCCUAACACAUGCAAGUCGAACGCUGUAGCAAUACAGAGUGGCAGACGGGUGAGUAACGCGUGGGAACCUUCCCAGUGGUACGGAAUAGCUCAGGGAAACUUGAGGUAAUACCGUAUAAGCCCCUAGGGGGAAAGAUUUAUCGCCAUUGGAUGGGCCCGCGUCGGAUUAGCUAGUUGGUGAGGUAAUGGCUCACCAAGGCGACGAUCCGUAGCUGGUUUGAGAGAAUGACCAGCCACACUGGGACUGAGACACGGCCCAGACUCCUACGGGAGGCAGCAGUGGGGAAUAUUGGACAAUGGGCGCAAGCCUGAUCCAGCCAUGCCGCGUGAGUGACGAAGGCCUUAGGGUUGUAAAGCUCUUUUAGCAGGGACGAUAAUGACGGUACCUGCAGAAUAAGCUCCGGCUAACUUCGUGCCAGCAGCCGCCGUAA